rnacentral:rRNA from 1 species
UACGGAGGGUGCGAGCGUUAAUCGGAAUUACUGGGCGUAAAGCGCAUGCAGGUGGAUAAAUCAGUCAGAUGUGAAAGCCCGGGGCUUAACUCCGGAAAGUCAUUUGAAACUGUUUAUCUAGAGUACUGUAGAGGGGGGUAGAAUUUCAGGUGUAGCGGUGAAAUGCGUAGAGAUCUGAAGGAAUACCGGUGGCGAAGGCGGCCCCCUGGACAGAUACUGACACUCAGAUGCGAAAGCGUGGGUAGCAAACAGG